AUGAGAGAACUGAGAAUUGCACUUUUUUUUUUUUUUUCUUCCCCCUAGUAGAAGUUGUCUCGGACAGUUAGGCUGCCACAGUACAACAGGUGGGGAUGUGUACGCUGCUCCAGUCACCUCAGCAGCGUAUGGAUGCACGUGAGCAUUUCAAAAGAACAGCAAUGGGCAACGUUUCUAAACUGAGGCGCUUUUUUAGCCCAAUAUUUUGAGUGCUUAUUAUCCAAGCUGAGAUAGAGUAUCAGAAUCAGUUAAUUGCAUCUGGAUACAGUAACACCAAACAAGUUUCCAAGGUAAAUUGGGUUAAAAGGAAAAAAAAAAAAAAAAAAAAAAAAGCAUUAGUCUCUGGAGAAUGCUGAACAACUAGUGAGAGUUCUGUUUGGUAACAGUGCUUAUCUAGCCAUUUGCAGGCUGGCAUCAGGGAACUGCGGACAUUGAGAGCAAUUCAGAUUUAGUCACUAGUCUGUUAGGUCCAUAACCAGGCUUACACAAAUUACUUGGUUACAGUACUCACUUUUCUCUGCUACAUAGGGACUAUGGUCUUCCGUGUCAAACCUGAACUUCAUCAAGCCAUGUCAGAUGUCUAUCCUUGGGCACUUUAAAGUUAUAAAAUACAAGUAACUGAAUCCUCUCUGCUUUUGGCAGACUGGGACCUUGAUUAACCAAGUACCCCUGUAUGCAGAACACCAGAUUUAAAUGGGACAGUUGAGGUUGGAGCAGGCAUGGGCUUAAGCUUUACAGCAAAGGAAAGGUAUCUGAUGAGGUGCAUCUGAAUAGACUUUCACAAACCAGUUCCUGAAAUCCCUUUAUUUCUGUAGUAAUUUUUAGUAUCUUCAGGAUGAAUGCUUUACACCUGAAACUUGUCACUGUCCAUAUGGAAAAAUAAACACAUAAGCAAUACACAUUAACAGUUGUUUUUUAUGCUGUACUUUGUUUAGUAUAGAUUUAAUUAUAUACAGUUAUGUUUUAUUUUAUUGGCUGUGAUUUGAACCAUAUCCUGUAACAGCAGUGCCAUGGGAAUGUUAAGGGAGGCUUAUAGUGGAUAACGAUCCCAUCCUUUCAAGUUAUUUUUGUAAUCACAAGUACAGGAAAGUCUCUCUUAAGCAAUUCUGUAGUAACAAAAUGUUCUGCCUAAAUUUCUGCCUAAAACUGGUGUUUCAAGUGACUCCCUGGUAUAAACAGAUCAGCCACUUCUUCAUUAAAAAACGAUGCAUUCCAAGACGACUUAGAGGCUCUCUGUGUAGCUGUCUUACAUGCACAGGUGUAGAUUUGUUAGUGAAUACCUUCUGGCUGUUGAAGGGAAUAAUGUAAACUAAGCUGUUCUUACCAGUCACUAAACCCCACAAUUUCUAGUGAACAGAACAACGUACAGUAUUUCUAUGGGGAAACGGUACGGGGUAGGGGAGCUAGGCCCAAGGUAAAACAACCUACCUAGGCAACUGAUGGGACUUCAGAAAAACAGCCUUUCAAGUUGCACUUGCUAGGUAGGUCAGUAAUGAUAGAUUCCUGAUUUCUUUGGGGUUUUAACAUAUGGGAAGGUAAGAAACACAGGGCUCUGUAUUUUGAAUUUUUCCAUGUGUCAAGACAAAAGUUUAAUAGGUUACCCUUAGGUCUCUUUGAAAAUUACUGCCAUGCAGACACAACCUACUUUGUGUUACACAGCUAGUAUAAUCAGCUAAGCUUGAUAUUCCCACGUUAAGUACAUUUGAGAAAAUAGCAGGAUGUCAGCUGAUGUACCACUAGGCCAGUUGUUCAUUAAAAUAGAAACAUCUCUGUUUAUGCCAACAUGCAGUUCAAAAAGCAAAGGUGACUGAACUAGGAUAGCUGCUGGGGCAAGGUAGACUGGACUUAGUUUUCUGAUACAAUGGGAUCUUGAAAAUCAAUAGCAUACUCUAUUACCCAAGUUUAAGCUUUAGUGGAAAGACAAAUGAGGCUGUAAAUGUAAUACAGCUGCUCUGUGCCCAUAUAUUUCUGUAAGAAUCAUUAAGUUAGCACUCCUGAAUUAUAGAACCAAUGGUGAAUAAAUGAAAUUGGAAGGCAACAUGUUAAAAUCCAUACAAGAAGGGUUCUUUGAAAUGCUUACAGCAUGAUGAAAUUAUGAAAUUCACUGCUACAAUGUAAGACUGAAGUGUAAAGUUUCACUAAGUCAGGGAAGAAAGAUAGAUGUGGCUAAUGAGACCAUCUAGUGGUACACUUAAUGUGAUGAAGAAAAUUCAAGUAAUAUAACCAUGCCUGCUGAACUGAGGGAGUUGCAAGAAACUUCGACCAUAUGUUUGGAUUAUCCUUUGAGGAUUCCUGCAACAACCUGUAAAAGCCCUGGGUCUGCCCUUUCAGGCCGUGUCUACCAGUACCCUUUCAGCAGCGUGCCUGUGGUGGUGGUCAGCAGGUGCCCAGAUUAGAGGCAACUGCACCUGCGAAGCUGUAUGACUCAGAGGGUACAAUAAAUUGAAUGUAUUGAAGUGUACUGAAUGUACUGACAACGUGUUGGAAAAGGCAGUGCUAGACAUGACUUCAGACAAGAUACCCAGCUAACCAGAUCUUCUUCUGAUCUGACAUAGUGGGACUUCCUAGUUGUUGCAUUUUAACACCAUCUGGUGUUAAUUUUCAGAGUUUUUGUAUGUAAUUUCUGAAUCUAAGCAACCACCUCAGAAAAAGAGAAGUCCUUUUGUUUCAAAAUGAUCAGUAACAGACAAGUUCUAAACAGAAAAUGAUUGGUUUGGGGUAUAAGUGUUUUGUUACACUGUAAACCUAAUCUCCCAGUAUUUUUUGAAUUGUUAUUGCUUAUCCUAUAAUUUCAGGUUGCCCUUAGGAGGAAACAGGAAGGGGUAUAAAUUUACCUGGGAAUGAGUAAGCCCCUUAAAUAAUAAUUAAAAAAUCUUUAUAAGGAAGGAUAGGUCAAAUCAAAGAUAGGUAAUGAAAAAUGACAAAGUAUGCCAUGGAUUUUUUUUUUAUUGCAGUACACCAUGUGUGCACACUUGCACACACAUCUUUGGGUAUGUUAUAUACUCACUAUAGCUUGUAGUGUAGUUGAUUAUAAAGAAUACAGAAGACAUUCUGUUGUAAACUUUAAAGAAUAUUUAAUAACUUUUAAAAAAUAAAAUCUAUAUUUUAAAUUUUGUUCUUUAUAUGAAUGCACAAAAAUGUAUCGUAGUUGCAGUGACAGAAUCCAAAGAACUGAGGACACCUGCCCACUGUGUAAGAUAUCAGUGACAAUCUGGGAGAAUUCACAAUGGAAUCCAAACAAAAUUUUCCAGGGCGAGCCCUGACUUGUUUUCUUUCUGUGAAUUGUCUAAUUUUGUAUCUAUGAAGAUCACUCACACCUAGUGAGAAUCCCUGCACUCAAAGUUAAUAAAAGAGUCUGGUUUUAAAAUAACUGCUGGUUUUCAUUGCUUACCUUUGGUGCCACCUUUAUAGCGCAACAAUGAAGCUAAGGGGUGAGCGAAUGGCUGGGACUUUCUCCAUGCCAACAACCUCCUGCCCUGCCUGGCAAUGGGGGGAAGAGGCCGCUGGGAGCUGUGUGCACUGGAAGAUGUAACCAGCUCUUACCCAGUUUGUGAGAAGUUUGGGUGGAUUUGUGUAGCAGCCGUAUUGCUGAUGCAGGAUUAAAUAUUUUUACAGCUGCUGUGCAGUUCCUUCUUCUCUGUAUUAUAAAUCAUACAAUGCUGCUUUCAAAUGGUAAUUAUUAAAUGGAAGAAUAAACCUUCAUGAGUUUUUAUUAUUUGAGGGGGAGGAACAAAGAAGUAUUCAUAGAACAGAAACUGAAGUUCAGUGAUUGUGUUAAGUGUAAGAUGUGGAGCUAAAUAAUUCUGUUGUACAAGAAAUAAAAUUUGGCUGUGACAGUUACUGUACAGGAAAAUAAACCAUAUUCUAUUACAUAUAUAACUGUGAAGAUAAAAAUCCAUAAGCUAAGUUCUGAUGUUGCUGAAUUCAGUUGGUCCAGCCAUGCAUCCUGUGCCUUCAGAUCUUGUUAUUAAGCAGAAAGAGCAAUGAGUAUAAGUUUGGAAGGCUUUCCUUCAAUGUCUUUGCAACCUUUGGUUCUGUCUUUAAUUUAAAUGUAUAAAGUCCUCCAUGUUUAAAGAUAAAGAAGUUAAUAUAAAAGACUUUACUGGAAGUGACAAAACGCUGAUGGAAGCAAUUGGAAUGACUUCUGUGUUGCUCUCCAUACAUAUGAUUCAAGCAGCCUUUUAAAUGGCUGUUAUGUACUACUGGGUAUUUAUUUAUAAUGAAACACUUCAACAUGGAUUUUUAUGCAUAAUAUAGAACUAUCUUUUUUGGUUUUUUAAAAAAACUUGUUUCUUUUACAUAUCACAAAAUAUUCUGACUUUAUCUGCAUUGAAAGGAUGCAAUCCUUUUAAAAAGAAAAUAUAAGUUGUUAUAAGCAGUAUGUUCAUUGGUUUGAAAGUGGAUUGUGCUGGUGAUGCUUGAAGCACCAAAACAUAUGUUUGGCCUGUGUGAAGAGAAUUAAUAACAUCAAAUAUAGAAAACAGUUCAGUUCAAAUUAUAAAAUUAUAAACCAAGUUGCAGUAGCUUUUCAGUUGGCAGUGUAAGGGAAGUUUUUAAAAAACUAAUUAUUAGCAGCAAUGUGUGUUCUAGGUUGGGUUUUUUUCCGUUUUUCUUCCUUCCUCUUUCUUUUCAGUAGUUAGUGCCAUAUGUUUCUGUUGCAGUGACCGGGAGUUACAGUGUGAAUAGUGCUUAUACUCCCUAUAGAUACAUAUUUUAGAAUAUUGAGGCAGGAGCUUGUUAUAAAGACACCUAAACUGUGGAAAAAUAUUAUAUAUCAUGCUUUGUGGUUCCUUGUCUUCAGUCUCUGUUUUUCAUUUUGUUUGUUCUGUAGGUUUAGCUGAAGUCUAGCAGUCUUGUCUAAGAGCUCAGCAUGUAUUAUUGGGAGACUCACAGGAUGAGGUGGUGGAAACUGAGCUGUCAGCAGGAGCACCUGUGUGCACAUAAGCUGUGGCAAGAACUAAUCUGGACAUCUAACCUGGAACUGUAGGAAAGGAACAGAGAGUUGAAAGGGAAUGACCGAAUGCAGGACUGUGGACAGGUCAGCGUGGGCUCAGGAGGCAGAGGGCAUUGAGGCUGUGGCGAGUGUAACACCAAGAGUAAGUCUCCUACCCCAAGGUAUGGGGUGCUUGGGUGUGGGUACUCACUCAGUUUAACGUUUGACAUUUCUGUCUUGGGCCAAGGUGGGUCUGUUAAUUGUCAAGGCUUGUUAGCACGGCAGUAAAACCCUUCAGUGGGGGCGAAGCUGCUGUGAUGGAAUUGAUUGGGAAGCCCCAUAAAAUGCACAUAAGUAAUACAUUAUUUUCAAUUUAGCCUGCACAGCUAAAUGCCCCACACUACACAGGUUGAUGCAUAAAGGUGGGGUGUAAGAUUUUGGAAGAUAUUUGCUAUUUCACACACCAGGCUGUCCUAAGCACUUCCCCUCAAAACAUGGAGCAGUUCGGGCCUGAGGUUGAGAAGAGGAAAUCAGCAAAGAGGGGAAAAAAGCCCCAAAACCUAAGCAGUGUUUGUCAAUGGUGCAAGUCCAGAAGAGGGUUCCUUAUGGGUGUUGGGGAGAUUGUUCAAUAGGCUGUGACUUGGUGAGUCUGGCUUUACUGCUGGAAAUUGCUUUUAAAUUAAAGUAAGCAGAACGUCACUCAUAGCUGAGACCUGUUGUAAGCACUAAAAGUACAGGGUAACUUUUUUUCCCAAACUUGACGCAUGCUUCUAGUCUGUCACAGAAGGAAGGAAUGGCUGCCUUGAGCUUUCUGGGAAAACAGGGCACAGUGAUUGUACCUCUGCUCUGCUGCCGUGGCUGAGGGGUCCCAAGGGCUGGCUGUGGGCAGCCAGGCAGCUGCACUGCUCUGUUUGCUUGUCCCCUGCUGUGUCCUUUUGCUGGGGUGCUUCUGCUUCUCCCUUGUCACAUGUGUGUUACCCGGGGCUGCUUCCUGAUGAGGAAUUGUUUGAACGAUAGGAAACAUCUGAUUCUUAACCUCAUCACUAGAAGGUGUGCACAGAAGGAUGAUUGGUAACUUCAGUUACCAAUACGGGUGGGGAAACUGGACAAUUGGUGGCUGUUUUCUGGCUAAGGAGAGUUAUUAUUUUGAUUUCUGCAACUUCCAGAAAGUGGGGGGCAUAUUAUAGCCAACAGCCAGGCAGAGGGAGAAUGGGGCUGAAAAAUAGAACCAAGAGGUGACUCCAGUUCUAACAAAGACUGAUGUGCCUUGGCUGAUGUAAGAGUGCAGCUGGGGAUAAAAAAAAAAAAAA